ensembl:lncRNA
ACAACACUGCAGAGCACAGAGUCGCUUCUCUUUGGUCGAGGAAGCUCUACAGCAGGAGGGCAACAAGGGUCUUCGCCGAAAAAGUCAAGGAGCACGGCAGCCAAAUGAAGAGUGGGCUCCGUCCAUUGGCAGGGUCUGUUGAAGGCCCUCCUCUUAGUGUAUUUGACAGGCUGUGCUGGACACUCGAUAUGAGAGGGUGUCAGUUUGUCAAAUACCCCAAGAGAGGGGUCACUGUUCAUCCUGCAAGCUGCGCAACAUCAGCAAGAGAUGACUGCUCCACCCACACCAAUUUUCUCUGAGCAACUAAAAAUAAUGCAUUGUGAAAUAAUAACUUGAACAUUUUCAAUAUAUUUUAAGGGUUUUUUUUUUUUAAAGAUAAUGAACUGAAUAAAUGAAACAUGCACACUGAUUGUUAAAAGAUAUGUGAGGAUGUCUCUGAGCUAAAGGGCAUAUAUUAAUCUCUUUUGUAAAUUAGACCUCAAGAGUUCCACAGAAAAAAAUUAAGGAAAGGGCUAUUAGGUGGGUAUGUGACAUUCAAAAUAUUCGCUCAGUAAAUAAUAAUAAUUAUUAUAUUAUAUUAUAUUACUGUAGACAGAAUUUGUGCAGACUUUAUAUCUUAUUUCAUUGUAUGCUUUUAUAAGAAACUAUGUGUAGUAUUUGGUUAUUAAUAACAAAAAAAUAAAA